rnacentral:rRNA from 1 species
UCUUGGGUUGUAAACCCCUUUUCUCAGGGAAGAAAAAAAUGACGGUACCUGAGGAAUAAGCAUCGGCUAACUCCGUGCCAGCAGCCGCGGUAAUACGGAGGAUGCAAGCGUUAUCCGGAAUGAUUGGGCGUAAAGCGUCUGUAGGUGGUUUGGCAAGUCUGCCGUUAAAGGUCGGGGCUCAACUCCGAAAAGGCGGUGGAAACUGCCAGACUAGAGUGUGGUAGGGGUAGAGGGAAUUCCCGGUGUAGCGGUGAAAUGCGUAGAUAUCGGGAAGAACACCGGUGGCGAAGGCGCUCUACUGGGCCACAACUGACACUGAGGGACGAAAGCUAGGGGAGCG